rnacentral:snRNA from 1 species
GUGCUCACUUCAACAGCACAUAUACUAAAAUUGUAAUCUAUAGAGAAGAUUGGCAUGUCCCUUGCACAAGAAUGACACACAAAUUCAUAAAGCAGUCCAUAUUUUG